GCUGCUUUGAAACAAUGUGUAUUGAAUGAAGUGCUGUAAAUAAAUGUAACUCUAUGAGUUCUGUCUGUUUUUAGGACGAAUUAAAGUUUCUCCCACAUCUCAAUCACCCACACAUCGUCCAGCACAAGGAAUUUAUCAAAGUUUCUGACUGUCUGUAUCUUGUACUGGAGCACUGUGAAGGUGGAGAUCUCGCUCAGAAAAUCAAAAACAAAAAGGGAGGAAAACGUUAUAUUUUCUGAGAAUGAGAUUCUUGACUGGAUUGUGAAGAUCUGCAUGGCUUUAAAGUACCUGCAUGAUCAACAGAUCCUGCAUAAAAACCUGCGACCCGAGAGUAUAUUCUUCACUACAUUGGGAACCAUCCGUCUUGGAGAGUUUGGAGUGGUCCAUCAAC